AGCCUGAUGCAGCCAUGCCGCGUGUAUGAAGAAGGCCUUCGGGUUGUAAAGUACUUUCAGUUGUGAGGAAGGGGGUAACGUUAAUAGCGUUAUCUCUUGACGUUAGCAACAGAAGAAGCACCGGCUAACUCCGUGCCAGCAGCCGCGGUAAUACGGAGGGUGCGAGCGUUAAUCGGAAUUACUGGGCGUAAAGCGCAUGCAGGUGGUUCAUUAAGUCAGAUGUGAAAGCCCGGGGCUCAACCUCGGAACUGCAUUUGAAACUGGUGAACUAGAGUGCUGUAGAGGGGGGUAGAAUUUCAGGUGUAGCGGUGAAAUGCGUAGAGAUCUGAAGGAAUACCAGUGGCGAAGGCGGCCCCCUGGACAGACACUGACACUCAGAUGCGAAAGCGUGGGGAGCAAACAGGAUUAGAUACCCUGGUAGUCCACGCCGUAAACGAUGUCUACUUGGAGGUUGUGGCCUUGAGCCGUGGCUUUCGGAGCUAACGCGUUAAGUAGACCGCCUGGGGAGUACGGUCGCAAGAUUAAAACUCAAAUGAAUUGACGGGGGCCCGCACAAGCGGUGGAGCAUGUGGUUUAAUUCGAUGCAACGCGAAGAACCUUACCUACUCUUGACAUCCAGAGAAGCCAGCGGAGACGCAGGUGUGCCUUCGGGAACUCUGAGACAGGUGCUGCAUGGCUGUCGUCAGCUCGUGUUGUGAAAUGUUGGGUUAAGUCCCGCAACGAGCGCAACCCUUAUCCUUGUUUGCC
rnacentral:rRNA from 1 species